rnacentral:rRNA from 1 species
GACGAACGCUGGCGGCGUGCUUAACACAUGCAAGUCGAACGGAAAGGCCCUGCUUUUGUGGGGUUCUCGAUUGGCGAACGGGUGAGUAACACGUGAGUAACCUGCCCUUGACUUUGGGAUAACUUCAGGAAACUGGGGCUAAUACCGGAUAGGAGCUCCUGCUGCAUUGUGGGGGUUGGAAAGUUUCGGCGGUUGGGGAUGGACUCGCGGCUUAUCAGCUUGUUGGUGGGGUAGUGGCUUACCAAGGCUUUGACGGGUAGCCGGCCUGAGAGGGUGACCGGCCACAUUGGGACUGAGAUACGGCCCAGACUCCUACGGGAGGCAGCAGUGGGGAAUAUUGCACAAUGGGCGGAAGCCUGAUGAAGCAACGCCGCGUGCGGGAUGAAGGCCUUCGGGUUGUAAACCGCUUUCGCCUGUGACGAAGCGUGAGUGACGGUAAUGGGUAAAGAAGCACCGGCUAACUACGUG